GAUGAACGCUAGCGGCAGGCCUAAUACAUGCAAGUCGAACGGUAAGGCCCUUUCGGGGUACACGAGUGGCGGACGGGUGCGUAACGCGUAUGCAACAUACCUUCAAGCGGGGGAUAUGCCAGGGAAACUUGGUGCAACACCCCAUAGCAUUUCGGGACCGCAUGGUCUUGGGAUUAAAUAUUUAUAGCUUGGAGAUUGGCAUGCGUGACAUUAGCUAGUUGGCGGGUAACGGCCCACCAAGGCGACGAUGUCUAGCUGGUCUGAGAGGAUGAUCAGCCACACUGGGACUGAGACACGGCCCAGACUCCUACGGGAGGCAGCAGUAGGGAAUAUUGGACAAUGGGGGGAACCCUGAUCCAGCCAUGCCGCGUGAGGGAAGAAGGUCCUCUGGAUUGUAAACCUCUUUUGGCGGGGGACAAACCUGCACUAUACGUGCAGCUGAGGGUACCCGCAGAAUAAGCACCGGCUAAACUCCGUGCCAGCAGCCGCGGUAAU
rnacentral:rRNA from 1 species